UCCUUUUUAUGUAAUGACCAUCAAUCAUGAUUAGCUAUAAAUUAGUAUCUGUAUAUCAUAUUUAUUGCCACGAAGUCCUGUUUAGUUACAUCAGAAAUUGAAAUAAUUAUUCAUAAUCGCUCUCAGUGAGUCACAAGGACGACAUGCUUCAAACAUCCUGCUCCUUGUACACACAGAUGUCAUGUGUGAUUAAAAAGAAAGCAUUAGGGGAUCAAACGAUCUUUGGGAUCUGCCAGGUUGCCAUCACUGUUGCUUCUAAGGUAGAGGGCGGAGUCUGAGGCGUUGGAUGGCUGACGGGAAUGAGAAGGGGAGGGUUCUCCACUCAGGGACCGCUGCUUGUUCAGGUCCGGCCUUGACUUACCACCACCAGCACCUAGCAAAAAUAGAGGAACAAUUCUUUGUUUAACUGAUGUUAAUAUUACAUGUAUGUCAAUGAAUUUAAACUUUUUUUUUACUCCUAGUCUUUUGGUUUGAAAUGAUCUAAAGAUUACAGGCACUUGGCAGUCUCACCUAUAAAUAUUUUGACACAAGCUACAUGUAUGUGUCAUGUCUUAAGACAUGUAAACAUGUAAUGCAGUAAAUAUUCUGAAUCAGAACAUUUCUGUGACAUCAUCUGUUGUUCUACAAUGUCCAAUAAUUCCCACACCUAAUAAACAUUUUAUGUCCAAAAGUUA